rnacentral:rRNA from 1 species
UACAGAGGUGGCAAGCGUUGUUCGGAAUUACUGGGCGUAAAGGGCGCGUAGGCGGUUCGUUAAGUCCUGUGUGAAAUCCCCCGGCUCAACUGGGGAACUGCACAGGAAACUAGCGGGCUUGAGUUCGGGAGAGGGAAGCGGAAUUCCGGGUGUAGCGGUGAAAUGCGUAGAUAUCGGGAGGAACACCAGUGGCGAAGGCGACUACCUGGCCUGUUCUUGACGCUGAGGCGCGAAAGCUAGGGGAGCAAACGGG